UAUUUCACAAUGUAAAUACAAUAUUUCACGUAAGUAACGCGAGCGAAACGAAGUAGGAGAAAUAAUAACAUUCGUUUGUUGAUAUUCGAUUUAUUAUUACGUAGAUCGAAAGUCGAAGUCGCUUCUUGUACACAGAACGGAACGGACGUGUUUCUCUCUGCUCCUCGACCGAAUAUUAUAUCGUAUUUAAUAAAUGAAUAAAGUGCAAAUAAUUAUAAAUAAAUUAAAUAUCAAUUGUAAAAAAAGUAAAGAAACGUAAUAAAAGAUCGAAUCGCCCGUUUCGCAACGAUAUAUAUAACAUAAUAUAUAAUAUACAAACAAUGUAAUACAUACAACACAUAAAUAAUAUAUUUUAACCAAAUAAUAAAUAAUUAAACUUAAUAUGCACGUAUGAAACGUUGAACAUUUAAUGGAUUAAGUCAAUUUAAUUUUUUGAAUCGUUAUAAACAAGAAUUUUCGAAUAAAUUUUUGUUACAUCAAGAUUGAAAAAGGAAGAAGAAGAAAAGAGGAACACACGCUUUCGAAUAAAAGGAAAAGAAAGCGUUUCUUUUUCGAAAGGAAGUUUUUUCCAGAUAUAUCACCGAUGGAUUUAAUUAAAAAUUUUGGAAACGAAAAAAAAAAAAGGAAGAAUCGUACACGUGGAACGAAUGGAAAAGAGCGUAGCGAAGGGAGGAAAGAAUCGAUCGAUCAUCAAUGUGCCGUACGACUUUUGAAACGCGUGGAUAUUUUAUGGUGGCAAACAAUGAUCCACUUUAAUAAAACCCUAAUUGCGAUUAAAUCGAUCGCCGUAGACAAAGGCUUUGAAAAAUGUUUAUGGAAGUGUGUAAUUUAUAAACGAUAAGUUAAUACGUUCAAAAUUUGUACAAUACAAUAGAAAUUACAUUCUUUUCAAGGAGAUUCAAAACAAACGAAACGAGGUUGUUUUAUUGGAGGAGGGGAGGGAGGGAAAAACGUGUAACGUUCCCCGCAUGAAAAGUGUGUAACACGAAAUGGAUUAAACGAGGGUGAGAUAAAUGGGAAAAGAAGAAACGGGGGAACAUAAAUCGAGCUGUUUUUAUCCCCGUUGGAUCAUCGAUGGAAGUACACGUCUCCUAUAAUCCAACCUAAAAUCCUCUCUUGUCCACCCUCUUUGCCCCAGCUUUUUUUACACGGCGUUCGAGCGUUGUUUCCUCGAUUAAAAUGACUCGCAGUACGAAUAUUUACAAAAUUCGAUCGCAAAUUAUUAAUCGAAUAGUUGAUCACUUUGAAAAUUCGAGAAGAUUUUUCUUUGUAGAAAAUCUAAUUCAAGUAACGAAGAUUAAAAAAAAAAAAGAAAAAUUAACAAACUUAAGUCGUUAAGGUUAAAGAAAUUAUUUAUGUCAUAAAUUAUUAAAUGUUCCCGUCGCUAUUAUAAAUAUAUUCUCUUUGAUUUUUCUCGUCACUGGAGAGAAUAUAAUCCAGCUCCGAAGUGGAAUGUUUUACGAGCAUGAGCUCGUGAAUACAGGCAUUUUCCGGUCGAAGAAUCUCGGAAUAAAAGACUUCUUUUCAUGGUCACCGAUGUCGUAAGUACCGGGUUUGCCGAUUCGGAACGGUGUCUCGAUUCCCAUAAAAUCACGACCGUGACCUUAAACGAGAUUAGGGGAGCCCGGUCCAGCCAUCUUUCUUCCCUCUUGUGAUCCAAGGGAAAAUGCUCGCGCCUGACCUAUGCCAAUCGAUCCUUGAACUCAAUGGAAUGCAGAGACAUUGGUUUAAUUUUUUCUUUUUUUCAGAUCUUUCGAGAUAUCUUUUUUUUUUGGGGACAGUUUUCUCAAAAGAAUUCAAUUUUUCUCUCUUCGCAUCAAGAUUUAUUAUUGCAAAGAAUUGUUGACUAAUUUUAUUUUAUUUUUUGACAAAUUGUUAUUUUUGGAACGUAAUAUUUUUCCAUUCGUGAAUAAUCUUCUCCACGUUGGUCAAGUAUCGUGCUCGCAAGAGGGAAUAUAAAGUCAAAUCUGAUUGAUUCAAUUGAUCGUAAACGAGGCGUAAUCCACGUUAAUCACCCAAAGGGUGCAACGAAACAAUAAACGUUGAACAAUCGUCAAUAAAGCGGUGAGAACUCGAAGUUUAACGAACAUCGUUCGUUCGAACCUUCUCUCUCUUUCUCUCUCUCUCUCUCGUCAACUCGUUAAACAAUCGUUUUGAUCCUGUUUUUUCCUGUUAAGGAUUCGAGAUUCGAGACGGCGAGGAGUAUUUCACGGUGCGACACGCGUCUUCACGAAGCGAACAUAUACAUGUUCCCUCCAUCUAGUAUCUAGGUUAAAUGGCCGGCCGUGAAAGGAGAAUGAUUAUUAGCGGUGAAUUUUCUCAACAGUACACCGAUCGAAGAUCAUUACCGGCGUGUAACGCGAAUCUUUUGCAAUUAUUUCGUGACAGCAAGGACAAUUUCACCUGGUUUCCUUUGCAACAAGGAAUCUCGAAAGCUCCAUCGUUAUUUACGUGUUAGGAAUCGCGGUUAAUCUCGUGAAAUCUUCGAUACUUCGAAAUGUUAUAUACGAUGUUAAUUCGGAUUCGAGAGAGGUAAUUAUUAUAGAAAUUGGCCAAUUGAGGGGAUUUCUAAGGGGAAGGAUUAUAGAUCAUAGUCAUAGUUAUAUUUUUAACUUUUACUGAAUUAUCGUUCAAUUCUUUUUUUUUUUUUUUUUUUCUAAUUCUGAUCAUCACGAGGCGAAAGUAUUAUUAAACGAUACGAGAUAUAACGUGGUAUUGCAUAGUAUAAUAAGUAUACUUUUUUCAAAUUGAAGAAUCUUUUUCACGUGAUGUGCACUCAAAUCUUAAUAUCUUUAUAUUUAUUAUAUACUUUUCUUUAGAAUUUAUAUUGUACUUUGAUAAAUGAAUUUAGUUUGCACAUUCUUGAAAAGGAUUCUCGUACUUUGUUUGUCAUUAUAAAAAUCGUUGACAAUUUUGACAAAUCUUCUCAAGAAUCUUCGAAUCUCAAUUUGAAUCACUCCAUACCUUGUAUACCCAUAAUCAUCAUCAAUAUCAUUUCCUUUCCCUUUAAACUCGAAAGAAAGAUUUUUCCCAAGGAAAAUUACGGCAUUUAACCAACGAUGUUCACGAUGACUGAUGCGAAUUUAAAACUGUCGUCCGUUUCCAGGAUCGAAGGAGUGUGCCUCUAAUCCCGAGAAAGAAAAGGCCAGUGUGGAAAAGGCGGAGAAGCAAAAGCCGAUAGAUCGACCCAGAAUUCGUCGCAGAGAUCGCGCGCAAUUUCUCAACUUGUCGUAGCUUUCCACCAACCAUCCGAUCCCGCCUGUAAAAACUCGUGACACGUGUAGGAUGGCUUAACGACUGUCCGCAAGAAAACCGCCGCUACGCAAUUACGCCGCGGCGCAAAAAUGGCCGAGCGGAGAGAAGAGGCGAGGUGAUCGAUCAGCACGAUGCAACGCGAAAUAAAACCAAACCGGUUACGUACACAACGUAUUUUCUAACCGACUUGCGGCGAAAACGCUUCACUCGAAUCGUUCGCCAGCUCAGAUGCAAAUUGAAUUUCAACUUUCCACGCGAGGAAGAAGAAGAAGAAGAAGAAGAAUUCGAACGAGAAUACUCCUCUUACACGCGACAAACGAAAUACCUUUCGUUCCAUUCUACGUUUCCACGCGAAACGGAGCAUCGAAUCGAUCCGAAGAAGCAUCCUUUAACCGAUACUCGAUAAGACAACGAGGUGAAACACGAUGAUGAUAUCACUAUCCAACACCUUGCGACGAAAUGAAACACGUCAAGGCCAUUCUCGGAAAUAUAAAAAAUUGACCAGAGGAUUCUCGUGUAGAUAAAAAGAUGCGUAAUUUAUAUCUGUCGUAUGAUACGACAGUGAAAGAGUCAAAAAUACACGCAUUCGUGAAAUACAAAUCGUCCCCCAGAGGAUCAAAAAUUUUGUAAUUUGUACGUGGCUGGAUUGUAAAAAAAAAAAAAAAAUAAAAAAAAAAAGUAAAACGUGUACGAGAUAUUGGCCCGCAGAGGAUCAGAAAUAUUUAUUGAGACUUAGAAAAAGAAAUCCUCGUGAUAAUCAGCACGAUGUCAAGGAGAAGCGACGAAAAAAGAGGAGAAAAACUGUUUGAGAUCAGAGUCUAAUUAACGAUGGGCAUACCGAUUUCGCAAACGCAAAUACGAGAAAUAUUCGACGAUAAAUUGCAGCUUUGCGUGGGCGUUACGAUUUCGUCAUGAACAUGAAUAACAUUCUCUUCUUUAAAAAAAGAAGAAGAAGAAAAAAGUUAUCGAUAUAAUUAAUAGAUUUUCUAAUUAUUA
rnacentral:lncRNA from 11 species